AAAAGAGAUGGUCCCUGAUAGGUGCCCAUAGAGGGUGAAGGACUGAAAUGGAGAAAGACCCAGGCAUGGCCUGGAGCCAAAGGAAUGGGAAGGCAGACACUCUUGUGGGAAGGACACUGGAUCAGGAGUCAAGACACCAGGGCUGCAGCCCUGGCUUGGCUGCCAACGGGAUGUGGACUGUCCCCAGGUCCACCUGACUCUGAGAUUCAUAAUCCCUUCUGCCCUGGAAACCGGGGCGGGAGCUCAGGUCAUCCUGUUCAGAGGCAGGGGGAUGGAUCUCUUGACCUGAGGAUUGGCGUGGAAGAGAGGAGGGAGAGAGAGAAGGAGGAACAAAACUCCAUUUGGCCUUCCACAGUCAGGCAAUGCUGCCCCACUCGGAACAGCAGGCAGAAACUUCCCGCCUCCCUGAAGCAUGGGGAAAUGGUGGGUAAAAGGGUGGGAGGGGCCAGUCCCCAGUUCUGGUGCUGUCUUGUAUCGGGUCUCCAUUUUCAGGGGAUGUGCUGAUUCUCCCUCCCCCCACCCUCCCUGGGUCAUGCCCGCCUCCUGGGGUCCCCAGCUUCUCCUUCACCUGCCAACCUGCCUCUCGGUUCAGCUCUAGUUGGGAGCAGAGAGUCCCCAUGGAGCCCUAAGGGUGGAGCCCUGUUGGGCUGGGACAGCGAUAUAGAGAUGGGGCCAGCCCCCAGGGGAGAAGUGAGGAGGGCUGGGAGGGUGCGGGGAGAGGAGAGGUUAACCUUUAACAUGAUGAAAAUAUGAAAGUAUUUUUCAAAACCCUCUUUAAAAUGUAAAUCUUUAUCUAUAUAUUGACAUGCAAAAAAUUCCAUGACACCUUAUUGAGUGAAAAAAAAAAACACAUUACAAAGCAGCACGUGUGGUGUUUAUAUAAAAUGUGUGUGUGUGUGUGUGUGUCUGUGUGUGUGUGUGUGUGUGUGUGUGUGUUCGCGCAUAAGACAGAAAGGCUGUGUGCAGGGAGUGACGUCUGGAAAGGUGCUCACCAAAAUGCGAAUCCUGUUUGCCUCUGCGGGAUGGAGUUUGGGGUGGUUUAUUGUAACAGUCCCAUUUUUACUGCUUACAUUUUCUAGGAGUGUGCUUUAUCCGUAUGUGCAAGAAAACUCCCAGUGAUGCUGUUUUCAACUGGGGGGAAAGGAUUGUUUUCAUCCUAAGACGACUCUGUCACUCAACAGAAAAACAAACUAGAGAAAGAAAAGCCCUAGUAGUGGUCCUAUCUCGCAGGCAGUCCUGCGGAACAAGUUGUGGGGUGGGGGGCGUCCUGCCCCGUCAGCGGGCUCUGAACCUGUUCCCAGCAGCCUUCCGAGCAGAGGGAAGAAUAGACUGGAAAGUGCUGCACAGGUCCACCCUCUAGGGUGAGGCGCACAGCCCCUCUGAAAAAGAAAUCAGUUUAUUUCCCCCAUUCUAUGGUUGGGAGGCUGCCUUUCAGGCAAGGGAAGUGACUUGCCCAGGUCACACAUACCUGAGUGACGGGCAGAGCCAGGGACGAGACUCUGAGCACGGGCAGCCCAGGGCUGCUUCCAGUGCCCUGGCCGCCCCCGCCGGCCCUGCAAACCUGAAGUUGCAGCGGGUGCAAUCCCUUUCAGGGAGCUCUUCCCGCUGCCCCCAGCUUCCAGCUCCGCCUUGGGGCUGUUGGAACGAGAUGCAUGGGACACAGCCCAGCUGGGUCUCCGGCCCCCCCGAGGAAGAGCGCAAACACUUCAGGCACAGCCACCUAGCACAGAGCCUGGGCACACAGUGGGCAUCAGUGAUCUGCUGAAUGUUCGCGGUCUAAGCAGUUCGGGCUGGGUGCAGACCCCGCUGCUGCGCCGAGCGGCGAGUGCGGCCGCAAGGCCCUGUGAGUCGCAUCUGGGCCAUCACCGGAAGGCUUCCUGUAGGAGGGGACCUUUGAGCUGAGCCUAGAAGGAUGGGUGGAAUUUCCACGAGGCCCCAGAGGAGAGAAAAAGGCUGGCGUUUCGGGUGGACGGGUGGACUUUUCCAGAAGGCAGUCUUUAAGCGCGAACUUGGCGGCGCGCGGGGACCCGCCACGCCGUGGGGGCCUCCGGUCCUCGGCGGCUGCUUCGAAUUUGCCGAGUAUUAGCCACGAG